CUUUGCACAAGCUUGCUGACAAUGUGUAGACACUUGUCCACAAAUUCUAUUCUGUUCUAUUCCAUAACGUGUGGAUUUCACUUUGGAAGUUUCAAUGGAAACAUGACAAUCACAGUUCACAUUCGAAGCUGUGAGCAGCUCCUACUGGCCAAACUGGGUGUGAGAAGGCAAAUAGCCAUGUGCAAGCAGCGCUGGAAGGGACUGGGACUAACGACCGUCUAUCAGCCCGUACACUCAUAGCAAAGCAGCAAAAUUGACUGAUGUGUGUGUCUCUGUGUGUUUGUGUGUGUGUGUGUGAGAGAGACUGACUGGCGUGCGUGCGUUUGUGUGUAUUGACCAGGGCUGUGGUGCAUUGUAGUUGCAUUGCAUGUGUGUGUACAUGGUGUGCAAUGCGCCUUCCAUGCAACACAGAGCUGUGUCAUGAUAACACACACAUUGUGCAUGCUGUGGAUAUCAGUCUUUAAAAUUGCAAGGAAUAAUUAAAUAAAGUCAAGGUCUGAUUCUGAAACUUUUUAA